CUUGCUCCUGGUGGCGAUGUGGCGGACGGGUGAGUAACACGUAGGAAUCUGCCUAGUAGUGGGGGAUACUUGGGGGAAACUCAAGCUAAUACCGAUACGCUCUACGGAGGAAAGCGGGGGAUCUUCGGACCUCGCGCUAUUAGGUGAGCCUGCGUCCGAUUAGCUAGUUGGUGGGGUAAGGCCACCAAGGCGACGAUCGGUAGCUGGUCUGAGAGGACGAUCAGCCACACUGGAACUGAGACACGGUCCAGACUCCUACGGGAGGCAGCAGUGGGGAAUAUGGGACAAUGGGCGCAAGCCUGAUCCAGCAAUGCCGCGUGUGUGAAGAAGGCCUGCGGGUUGUAAAGCACUUUAAGCAGGAAAGAAGGUGUAGGGUUAGUACCCCUUGCAAUUGACGUUACCUGCAGAAUAAGCACCGGCUAACUCCGUGCCAGCAGCCGCGGUAAUACGGAGGGUGCGAGCGUUAAUCGGAAUUACUGGGCGUAAGCGCGCGUAGGCGGUUGACUAAGUCUGCUGUGAAAGCCCGGGCUUAACCUGGGAACUGCAGUGGAUACUGGUUGGCUAGAGUAUGGUAGAGGGUAGUGGAAUUUCCGGUGUAGCAGUGAAAUGCGUAGAGAUCGGAAGGAACACCAGUGGCGAAGGCGGCUAUCUGGACCAAUACUGACGCUGAGGUGCGAAAGCGUGGGGACAAACAGGAUUAGAUACCCUGGUAGUCCACGCCCUAAACGAUGAGAACUAGCCGUUGGGUCCGGUUACGGAUUUAGUGGCGCAGCUAACGCGUUAAGUUCUCCGCCUGGGGAGUACGGCCGCAAGGUUAAAACUCAAUGAAUUGACGGGGGCCCGCACAAGCGGUGGAGCAUGUGGUUUAAUUCGAUGCACGCGAAGAACCUUACCUGGUCUUGACAUCCAGAGAACCAUCCAGAGAUGGUGGGUCCUUCGGGAACUCUGAGACAGGUGCUGCAUGCCUGUCGUCAGCUCGUGUCGUGAGAUGUUGGUUUAAGUCCCUAACGAGCCAACCUGUCCCUAUUCCCAUCAUUCAUUGGAACUCUAGGAGACCCCGUGAUAACCGAGAAGUGGGAUGACGUCAAGUCAUCAUGCCCUAUGCAGGGCUACACACGUGCUACAAUGUCGUACAGAGCAGCGAACCCGAGUGACCAUCCCGAAACCGAUCGUAGUCCGGAUUGAGUCUCACUCGACUCCAUGAAGUCG
rnacentral:rRNA from 1 species